UAAGUGAGUAAAAUAAAUGUA
rnacentral:piRNA from 1 species